rnacentral:lncRNA from 1 species
UUUUUGGUUAAUUUUUCUAUUUUGAUUUUGUCGUCUCUACUAUAGUUUGUUUAUUCUUUUUUACUUUAGGGUGUGAAGAUCCACCUUUAGUGAGGAGAAUGAUAAUGUGAAGGAUGGGGUGAAUACAUAGAAGAAGGUUGACUCAAUGAAAAAGAAUAGCAUUAAUUAAGUUUAUGAUCGACAAGGAGUGAUAUGUUGAUG